CAUGCCUUGAGUGUAGGAC
rnacentral:ncRNA from 2 species